ACAAACAAACAAACAAAUGCAUGCAUGCAUGCAUUCAUUCAUUCAUUUGGCUGUGUCUUCCACCUGAAACCAGGUUGGGAUCUCAUAGUACUACAGCUCACAUAGCAUUUAGGUAGAUGGAGCUAGAAAUAAGCCCGAGUAUGCUUUUUCCUUCAGGACUUCUUAACACUAAGUUAGAAAACAUAAGUGUUUCAUAAACCUUAUUCCUUUAAUUAAAUUUUUAGUAUGAACCAGAAUUGUAAAUUUCUUCCUUCCCUACCCUAGAAUAUAGAUGCAUGUCCCCAUUUAAUUUUAGUCAUUCUUGGUGAAUGUGAUAAUUCGGGUAAAGUACACUGAGAUGUGCAGACUGGAUGGAGAAUUCAGUAAAUGUAACAGCUGAUCAGGGCUUCUCUUCUUAGUGUCCCUUUAUUGAGAUCUUCUAAUAUACUGAUAUAUUCUUUAAUUUCCUCCCCAGCCCCACCUUUUCUUUUCUCUCUGCCCUUAUUGAAAGAUACUAACUUCUACAGUGUUGCUGUGAGUAGAGUAUCAGGAUAUUGAUCUUAGGGGAGGUGACCUAAUUAUAGAUUUGUUUUUUCGUUUUAUGAGGAUAUUCUUCAUAAUAGGAAUAUGUAAUACAUGCCAUAUACUUGAGGUUACUUUUGUUAAUCCCUUUAAGAACAGAGUGCUUUACUUCACCUUGCUUAGCAAGAAGGGAAGGGAAUAAUUAGUUCAGAUGCUUCAUCCUGUGCAAAGUGAGGCAUAUAUGCAGUGAUCUGACUUCCGUAAGUCUUGCUCAUCUGACCUUCCUUUGGUUCUUAAAGUUACACUGAAGACUAAACUCUAACCUUUUCUCUCUCUUGCUCAACUUAACUAAGAUAUCUAGGGAGUCACACCCUAAGAACCAUAAAAAUCUCAUUAGAUGGGUUUUAUUAUAUGUAUGAUAUGCCUUACUUUUCAACGUGAGUCUUGCAUAACAUCACACGACAGAUAAGAAAAAUCAAAAUAUUUUACCCUAAAAUAUGUGGUUUUUAUGGCCAUAUCUUAAAAUGGCCUUCCAAAGCCAUUUUUUAGGGGGGGAAAUUUGCAUCUGAGAGUCUGUCACUUUAAAGCUCUAGAUAGGAGACAUUUGCCGUUUAUUUGUCUCUAAGGGUGGCCACUUAUGAGACCUCUUCUGCAGAAUAACCUUGGUCUCCAUAACCCCAUUUCUUAACCCAGUCAGUUCUUUCUGUUGAUUCCAGGUCUCAGAUAAUAACUCUUUUGACCAGUUGCCAGUCGGAAAAUCUUGGAAUCUACCUAUAAGCUGUGCGACCCUCCCCCAACCUGCCCUGCAAUUAUCCUACCUUUCUGCACCAAUCCAGUAUAUACCUCCCAUGUACUGAUUGAUGUCUUAUGUUUCCCGAAAACAUAUGCAAUUGAACUGUAACCCACUGACUUUGGGCAGAUGUUCUCAGGACCUCUUGAGACUGUGCCUGGAGCCAUGGUCACUCGUAUUUAGCUCAUAAUAAACCUCUUUAAAUAUUUUAGAGUUUGACUCUUUUUGUUGACAACACAAAAAAUACCACUGAACCUUAAACUUUGUGUUAUAGGGAAGUGUCAUCCCAAAGACCCACAGGAUGGCUAAAUAGCAGAAGGGAGAACUUUUACUGGUAGUACUGGUUUGUAAGCUGGGAGGAGGAAGUCUCCAGCAUGGACUGAAGGGGCUGUCUCUUUGAAGAGGAAGAGGACAGACUGCGUUUUAUGGCUCCCCAGUUCUGUAUUACACAGUGGAGUCAUACCCAUUCAGCAGGUGUGGGGGAAAAGCUAUACAUAUUUAUGAGAGGAGCUGCAUAUACCUCAUAUUCACUUUGAGGUGGGGUUUUAGCAUUAAAAUGAGGCGGAAUUUCACCAUGUGGAAAGGUGAACAAUACACACAAAGACUUUGUGUGGCCACUAUAAGCUAGCUGGAGCUGGUUUCUGGUCUCUGGUGGCUUAUCAGAAAAGAAUGUUUAUAAGGCCAGUCAUCUGUCUAAUCAGGUGGCCUGGGUUGUAAAUCAGUUCUGAUAAUUUACCUGAUAGCUCCUAUUGUUAAGGAGUUAAACACGAAGGUGGUUAUUCUUGUAACCAUAGGAAUUCAGAAAAAUGCCAUGCCAGCCAGGCCCUGAACCCUUGACCCAUAGGUAACAGUUUCCUUAACCUUAGGGUUUGUCUUAGUUGAUUAAGGGGCAUCAUUUUGAUCUUGCAGGUAAAGGAGGAAAAAAAAUCUCUUCCACUACCCUCUUAGGCUCAGUAGUCGGGGCUUAUGAAUCAGAAAUGACAAAGGACAGAUUAACAAGAAUAAAAACAUACGUAUAAUUACAUAUGGAUAUACAAUAUUUAAAAAAUGAAUGUGACUUGCGGACACAGUUAGAAUUGGGGGCUUAUAUACCAUUAUAACAAAGGGAACCAAGUAUAGAGAAGAGUCUUGUUAGAAAAAGAAGAAAGGGUUUGGGGCUUCUUGAAGGUACAUCCUGAGAAAGGGACUCAGGAUACAGUAAAGAAGGGUCAUUUGUAAGGUUUUUUGAAAUGCAAACUAGAGUCUUUUCAGGUGCUAGAGUUGCCUUCAGCGUAGUUCUCUCCCUGAUACUGGAGAGGGAGACACCCUUACAAAUGGAACCUUAUGUCCUGGUUUUAGUAAGAUGGGGGAAGGACAGGAAGCUUUUUUUCUGUCUGCUUUUUCUUAAAUGCUUUCAGCUCAAAAUAGUCCUUAUGCUCUACCAGCAUAUUUUGGAUGGUGCAUUCUUGUCCCCUGCCGUGAGGAGAUAAGUUUCAAGGUGACUGAUAAUAUUACACAGGGCUUUAUAAGGACCAUUAGUCCCAUAUUUAGACAACUGCAGUGAGUUCUCUCCUAUUUGAACUCAGAGCGUUAAUUUUCUUCUGCUGCAUUUCACUUUAAAAAAUACUAAUUUUAAGGUAUAUUUUGUAAUGUGUGCAAUAUAGUCCUGUAGUACUGCAUGUAUAUGAUUAUAUGUAAUCAUAUGCAUUUACAUGUAACUGCAUGUAUUUGGGGUAAAUGAGGGCUUUUCUGUUCUUCGCUUUUGUUUUCCUUGGUGAGUGCCUUUAUAAAAUGUCUAGUGGCCACCAGUCUGUGAGCUCGUUUGUAUUUAUUAAUGUACAAAUAAUGCCCUCAAGUUUUAUUUAUGUGUUCAUGUGUAUUUCUGUAUAAUUUGUGUAUCUCAGUGGAGGGUGGCCUCUCCAACUUCAUGUGUAUUCUCUGAAGCAAAAAUUCCUCUUGGUAUCUGACCCUCAUCUAAGCCUAUAUUGUAUGCGUAAUAGGCGCAAAAUAAAUAUCCAUUAAUGAAUUUCAAAAAUCAUAUUUAAAAGGAAGUUGUUGAUUUUCAUCAUUUACUGCAAAAUUUUUUAUAGAUUCAUUACAUAGCAGUUAGAAUGGUGGUGGUAGAUGGAGUAGAUAAGUUAGAAAUUCAGUAGAGAAGUAAUAGGUGACAUCUACAAAAGGAAGAGAAGAAUCAAUAUAUAUGGCUUACCGAGAUUAUUUAUUAUGAGGCCCCACAGCUUGAUGGAUCUUGGUAACCCCUAGCUUAGCGCAUUAUUAUACUGAAGCAAAGGGCAGUGACAGAUGAUUUCCAGUAAUGACUCUGUCUUUACUUUGACCUUGGGCAAGCCGUUUAAUCUUUCGGAUCCUCAGUUUCCUCUUUUACAAGAUGAAAUGACAGGGCUAGAAAGCUUUUCAUAUCUUCUAAAAAUUUGGAAUUCUACAUGUCCUCUGAUUAUCUGAGGCAGUCACCUUACAAAAUCACUUAGAUUUGCUGUAUUCCCUAUAAUAAGAAAAGUAAGCAUGACAUGGAAACACUUUUGUUAGAAUUAUUACUCCUUUUGCUUUUUUCUUUCUUUCUUUCUUUCUUUUUUUUUUUUUUGUGGACCAAAAAUGAUUUGGGAUGUAGCUCAGGUUUUUGAUUAAAAGGACAAAUUUGGAUGAAUAGGUGAAAGCUAUUAUGAAUUAAAGUUUAAUAAUAAUAACAUGGCAUUCAGUGAUUAAACAGGAAGUUCUGAAGUAGUGAACUCCCUAUCCCUGCAUCGGAUGAAAUAAAGCAGAAGUCACAUGACCACUUACCAGGAAUAUUGUAGAAAAUACUGACCUCCAUUCAAACAGGCAACCUUCCUAUCCAAGAGAAGCUCUCCUAAUGUUGGGAACUCACUGAGGUUAUAUAAAGCAGGUUAGGCAGGUAGAUAGGGAGGUACUGUUGAUGACAUCUGUGUCCUCUUAGUCUUAAUCUUGAGGUGAUGCCUUCUAAGGAGCUUGUCAGGAUGCAGCCUUACCGCAGCUGCUGGAAAACUCUUCCUUUCCUCUUGCUCUGUUUUGGUGUCAAGGCAAAGGGAGUUUCUUCUUUAUUUUCUUAGUGUCUUAUCCAACAAAGUAGUAGUACAAACUACUACUUUGUAGUAAAUAGCUACAAAGAUAGUUAUUUACAAUUUGGAGUAUCUUCUUUCAGUUUUUCUAUGCAUGUACCUUCCUUAUGACAAUUGGACACAGUUUACACCCUGUUCUGUGACUUGCUACUUUCUUGAAACCAUGUAUUGUGGACACAUUUCCUUGUCAGCAUUUGUAGAUCUCUGUAAUUCUCUGUU